AUGCACGCUGGCGGCGUGCCUAAUCCAUGCAAGUCGCGCGAACAGACGAGGAGCUUGCUCCUCUGACGUUAGCGGCGGACGGGUGAGUAACACGUGGAUAACCUACCUAUAAGACUGGGAUAACUUCGGGAAACCGGAGCUAAUACCGGAUAAUAUAUUGAACCGCAUGGUUCAAUAGUGAAAGACGGUUUUGCUGUCACUUAUAGAUGGAUCCGCGCCGCAUUAGCUAGUUGGUAAGGUAACGGCUUACCAAGGCAACGAUGCGUAGCCGACCUGAGAGGGUGGUCGGCCACACUGGAACUGAGACACGGUCCAGACUCCUACGGGAGGCAGCAGUAGGGAAUCUUCCGCAAUGGGCGAAAGCCUGACGGAGCAACGCCGCGUGAGUGAUGAAGGUCUUCGGAUCGUAAAACUCUGUUAUUAGGGAAGAACAAAUGUGUAAGUAACUAUGCACGUCUUGACGGUACCUAAUCAGAAAGCCACGGCUAACUACGUG
rnacentral:rRNA from 1 species